rnacentral:rRNA from 1 species
CAAUAGCGUAUAUUAAAGUUGUUGCAGUUAAAAAGCUCGUAGUUGAAUUUCGGGUCCCCGCGCUCGGUGCUUCAUUGUGCCGUCGUGGUGUCCCUCCUCGCCGUAAGGCGUCCUUUACUGUGAAAAAAUUAGAGUGUUCAAAGCAGGCAAUCGCUUGAAUACAUUAGCAUGGAAUAAUAAGAUAGGAUCUUGUCUAUUUUGUUGGUUGCGGACAACGAUAAUGAUUAAUAGGGAUAGUUGGGGGUGUCCGUAUUGAGCUGUCAGAGGUGAAAUUCUUGGAUUUGCUCAAGACGAACUACUGCGAAAGCAUUCACCAAGGAUGUUUUCAUUAA